ACAAGCUACCUCAAUGCCUUCUGUUCUGAGACCUAUAAAAAAGGGAAGCCUGCAAACAGAAAGAACUCUAGUCAUUGACUCAUGAAAUGGUCCUAUGGAAAUUAAGAAAAUAGCAGUCCCAAAUUAUUUUACACCACUUUGCCUGAGAGGGUAAUCUCUAUACCCCACAGAAUUUUUCAGCCAGGAUCACGAAUUCUGGAAGCAUUUCAGGAUAAAUAUAACAAAGUAGAACUCAGUCCCAGGGAUACUUGAUCUCACUCUUCCAUCCAUCAUGAACGGUAAAGCAUUUGGCAAUUAGCAGCUGAGAUGAAGUAUUUAGUUGCUACUGCCCAAGUGAGAAAAACUGUGUUUUGUCUGUUUUGAGAACAGCCUUCCACCUAAAUAGGAGCUUGUAACAGAAGUGGAACUAAUGAGCACUAUACGUGUCACUACCGGCAUGUGGAGAAACACAAAGAAGCUAAAAAGUUCUUCACUGGAAACUAAAAUUGUCUGUUCUUCCAUCUCUGCUCCUAAAUAGAUAGUAAAUGACUGAGCAGAAAAAUGUUAGUGCACUGAAUAGCAGGACAAGACAGCUUAUGACUCCUGAAGAGCUGUCAGUUUUUGUACUGCUUAGCAAAGAGAGAAUUAUUUCAGCUAUAACUCAAUAAAAAGUUU